rnacentral:rRNA from 1 species
GACGAACGCUGGCGGCGUGCCUAAUACCUGCAAGUAGAACGAGUGGCGGACGGGUGAGUAAUGUCUGGGAAAAUGCCUGAUGGAGGGGGAUAAAUACUGGAAACGGUAGCUAAUAUCGCAUACCAUCAGAUGUGCCCAGUUGGGAUUAGCUAGUUGGUGUGGUAACGGCUCACCAAGCCGACGAUCCCCAGCUGGUCUGAGAGGAUGACCAGCCAAACUGGAACUGUGACACGGUCCAGACUCCUACGGGAUGCAUCAGUGGGGAAGAUUGCACAAUGGGCGCAAGCCUGAUGCAGCCAUGCGGCGUGUAUGAAGAAGGCCUUCGGGUUGUAAAGUACUUUCAGCGGGGAGGCGUUACCCGCAGAAGAAGCACCGGCUAACUCCGUGCCAGCCGCCGCGGUAAUAC